GCGGGCACCAGCAAGGCCGCCAUCCGCCGCCGCUGGCCCCGGCGGCAGCGGCUGGUGAUCGACGCGCUCGCCUCGAUCCUCGUCGUGCCGCCCGCCCC
rnacentral:tRNA from 1 species